rnacentral:misc_RNA from 1 species
AACGCACAUUGCGCCCCUUGGUAUUCCGAGGGGCAUGCCUGUUCGAGCGUCAUUUCAACCCUCAAGCUUCUGCUUGGUAUUGGGCUUUCGUCCUAGUCUUUUUGGCGGGACGUGCCUAAAACUUAUAGGCGGUUGUACUCAACUCCCUUGCGUAGUUAUUUUAUCUCGCUCUGGAGGAUUUUGGGUAUGACCCGCCUGAGAACCCCCCAUAUUUCUCAAGGUUUGACCUCGGAUCAGGUAGGGAUACCCGCUGAACUUAA